rnacentral:rRNA from 1 species
GAUGAACGCUGGCGGCGUGCCUAAUACAUGCAAGUCGAGCGAACGGACGAGAAGCUUGCUUCUCUGAUGUUAGCGGCGGACGGGUGAGUAACACGUGGAUAACCUACCUAUAAGACUGGGACAACUUCGGGAAACCGGAGCUAAUACCGGAUGAUAUUUUGAACCGCAUGGUUCAAAAGUGAAAGACGGUCUUGCUGUCACUUAUAGAUGGAUCCGCGCUGCAUUAGCUAGUUGGUAAGGUAACGGCUUACCAAGGCAACGAUGCAUAGCCGACCUGAGAGGGUGAUCGGCCACACUGGAACUGAGACACGGUCCAGACUCCUACGGGAGGCAGCAGUAGGGAAUCUUCCGCAAUGGGCGAAAGCCUGACGGAGCAACGCCGCGUGAGUGAUGAAGGUCUUCGGAUCGUAAAACUCUGUUAUUAGGGAAGAACAUAUGUGUAAGUAACUGUGCACAUCUUGACGGUACCUAAUCAGAAAGCCACGGCUAACUACGUG